rnacentral:lncRNA from 1 species
AUUCUUUGACUUCCCAGAAUUCUUUGGGAGCUGAUACUAGUAUCCUGGGCACUAGUUCUUCAUCCUGUUCAAGCCUAGGCUGAACUUGUAAAAGUUGAUACAGAUGCCAGAGCCUUUAUGCUCACCUUUUAGCUGAUACCAUAGCAAUUACAAUGGAGCAAAAGUUAAAAACAGUGAUGAUUGAACAUAGUUGGGAAAAUCCCAAAAUAUUAAAAAAAAUGGAGUGACUGCUGCAAAGUGAGUAGAUAUAAAGGAUAAAUAUAAAAAUAUCAGGGCAAAGUUUAUCCAAGAUGUGAAUUACACAAAUGAAAAGGCUGGGGAUGGUACCACCACUGCCACCGUUCCAGAUUGCUUGGUUACCAAGAAAGGAUUUGAGAAGACUCUCAAAUUUUCUAAUCGAGUGGAAACCAAGAAAACAGAAGAGAUAUUAUGUUGGCUGUUGAUUUCAUUCUAAACCUAAAGCAACUGCUUAGGUUGUUACAGUUUCUGCCAGUGGAGAAAUAUAAACAAAAAACAAACCAAAACAAACCCAAAUCCAAACCCAAACCAAACAAAACUCUACCAAAGGAAACAUCAUUUCUAGUGCAAGGAAAAUGGCUUGGAGAAUGGACAUCAUCACAGUGAAGGCUGAAAAAAAUCCCUAGCAAUAAAUUAGAAAUUAUUGAUUGCUUGAAGUUGAUAGAGAUUAUGAUGCUGUACUCAAGAGAUUUUGUGAACAUGGUGGAAAAGAGAAUUAUUGAUUGAAGUUUGUAUGAUUCUGCUUUGCUGAAUGUUGCCAUGGGUGACCUCUCUGUUAACUAGCAAAAGCUACAGUAAUAGAAAUCCCUAAAGAACAGAAGGAUGUUGGAAUGAGC